rnacentral:ncRNA from 1 species
UGUGACAAAGGCAAACCUGCCGAAAGGCAGGGACGCAAAGCUACAGGGCCUUCCCGCCAGGAUGGCAGCCAGCUACCGAAA